UACGAAGGGGGCUAGCGUUGCUCGGAAUCACUGGGCGUAAAGCGCACGUAGGCGGCUUUUUAAGUCAGGGGUGAAAUCCUGGAGCUCAACUCCAGAACUGCCUUUGAUACUGAGAAGCUUGAGUCCGGGAGAGGUGAGUGGAACUGCGAGUGUAGAGGUGAAAUUCGUAGAUAUUCGCAAGAACACCAGUGGCGAAGGCGGCUCACUGGCCCGGUACUGACGCUGAGGGGCGAAAGCGUGGGGAGCAAACAGG
rnacentral:rRNA from 1 species